rnacentral:rRNA from 1 species
GAUGAACGCUGGCGGCGUGCCUAAUACAUGCAAGUCGAGCGAACAGACGAGGAGCUUGCUCCUCUGACGUUAGCGGCGGACGGGUGAGUAACACGUGGAUAACCUACCUAUAAGACUGGGAUAACUUCGGGAAACCGGAGCUAAUACCGGAUAAUAUAUUGAACCGCAUGGUUCAAUAGUGAAAGACGGUUUUGCUGUCACUUAUAGAUGGAUCCGCGCCGCAUUAGCUAGUUGGUAAGGUAACGGCUUACCAAGGCAACGAUGCGUAGACGACCUGAGAGGGUGAUCGGCCACACUAGAACUGAGACACGGUCCAGACUCCUACGGGAGGCAGCAGUAGGGAAUCUUCCGCAAUGGGCGAAAGCCUGACGGAGCAACGCCGAGUGAGUGAUGAAGGUCUUCGGAUCGUAAAACUCUGUUAUUAGGGAAGAACAAAUGUGUAAGUAACUAUGCACGUCUUGACGGUACCUAAUCAGAAAGCCACGGCUAACUACGUG